AUGAACGCUGGCGGCGCGCCUAAUACAUGCAAGUCGAGCGAGAAGACGUAGCAAUACGUUUGUAAAGCGGCGAACGGGUGAGGAAUACAUGGGUAACCUACCCUCGAGUGGGGAAUAACUAGCCGAAAGGUUAGCUAAUACCGCGUACGCUUCUUGGACUUCGGUUCAGGGAGGAAAGCGAUGCCGAGGGUAUCGCGCUCUUGGAUGGGCUCAUGUCCUAUCAGCUUGNGGUGAGGUAACGGCUCACCAAGGCUUCGACGGGUAGCUGGUCUGAGAGGACGAUCAGCCACACUGGCACUGCGACACGGGGCCAGACUCCUACGGGAGGCAGCAGUAAGGAAUAUUGCGCAAUGGGCGAAAGCCUGACGCAGCGACGCCGCGUGGGGGAGUGAAGGUCUUCGG
rnacentral:rRNA from 1 species